GGUCCUGCCUGCCCCGUGACCAUGAGUUUAACGGCCGCGGUAUUUUAACCGUGCGAAGGUAGCGCAAUCACUUGUCCUUUAAAUGAAGACCAGUAUGAAAGGCAAGACGAGGGCUUAGCUGUCUCCUCUUUUAAGUCAAUGAAAUUGAUCUCCCCGUGCAGAAGCGGGGAUAAAAACAUAAGACGAGAAGACCCUGUGGAGCUUUAGACGCCAAGACAAACCAUGUUAAGGACCCCAAGACAAAGGACUGAACUAAGUGGGAUCUUGCUCUAAUGUCUUUGGUUGGGGCGACCACGGGGGAAAAAAUAACCCCCACGUGGAAUGGGAGUACUCCUCCCCCACAACUAAGAGCUGCAACUCUAAGUAACAGAACAUCUGACCUUAAGAUCCGGCUCCCAUGCCGAUCAACGGACCGAGUUACCCCAGGGAUAACAGCGCAAUCCCCUUUUAGAGCCCAUAUCGACAAGGGGGUUUACGACCUCGAUGUUGGAUCAGGACAUCCUAAUGGUGCAGCCGCUAUUAAGGGUUCGUUUGUUCAACGAUUAAAGUCCUACGUGAUC
rnacentral:rRNA from 1 species